rnacentral:rRNA from 1 species
UACGGAGGGUGCAAACGUUGCUCGGAAUCACUGGGCGUAAAGCGCACGUAGGCGGCUUGUUAAGUCAGGGGUGAAAUCCUGGAGCUCAACUCCAGAACUGCCUUUGAUACUGGCGAGCUCGAGUCCGGGAGAGGUGAGUGGAACUGCGAGUGUAGAGGUGAAAUUCGUAGAUAUUCGCAAGAACACCAGUGGCGAAGGCGGCUCACUGGCCCGGUACUGACGCUGAGGUGCGAAAGCGUGGGGAGCAAACAGG